rnacentral:lncRNA from 1 species
UCCACCAAAUUGAUGCAUACUUUUUGAGCUUGACAGAGACUAACUUGACACUUCAAUCAUCAGUGAUUUUGGUGAGCUUGAAAACUCAAUAAAUAGUGUGGAGCUAAUCAACAAACUCAUCAGGUUAUAAACAUCCUUCAAAGUCAUGGAUAUUUAUUUUGAUACUGAAGUCAUGAUGAUUGCAAUGUGGUCUUCAUUCAUAUUGGUGUCAAGGUCUUCUUUGCUCGAUAGAGAUCCCAUUCUAUUAUAAAAAGGAUUAGAAUCUUCUAUUUCUUCAUUGGAACAGUCACUUUCAUCAUCAAAGGGUUCUCUAUUAGAAUAGUGAUUAGGACAUUGGCAACUUUAGCAUCCAUUUUACUCUUGCCAUUGACGAGCUACCAUUUUUCUUGUCAUAUUUGUUCAAGCUAGCGAUUCAAUUCACUAAUUUGAUGUCUCUAAAAUUUUGCUUACAUUCAACGGGCUCUUCUUUAUUAUGACAAUAAGGCAACAUCUUAAAAUUGUGCUAUAAUCCAAUUGAAACCAUGAAAGUGUUGAACUUCAACUAAAAACUCAAAGGAGGAAGAGUAUGUCGGUGCAACCAAUUAUGGAUAGAUAGAAACAUCACUACAGCAUAAUGUGCGACAAAAGAAAGAUGGUA